rnacentral:rRNA from 1 species
ACGGCGAGCGAAGAGGGAAGAGUCCAGCGCCGAACUCCACCGAAUGUAGGCGGUCGGAGUCUGUGGCGUUAGGGAGGGAGCGUGCCGGUGGACGGACGUCGGAGCAAGUCCUCCUGAACGGGGCUGUUUCCCAGAGCGGGUGCCAGGCCCAUAGGUCCGACGACCCCGCCGGAUAGCGAUCCUCUCCAGAGUCGGGUUACUUGGAAGUGUAACUCUAAGACGGUGGUAAACUCCACCCAAGGCUAAAUACUGCCGUGAGACCGAUAGCGAACAAGUACCGUGAGGGAAAGUUGCAAAGAACUUUGAAGAGAGAGUUCAAGAGUACGUGAAACUGCUGAGAGGCAAACUGGUGGGCCCUCGAAAUCCCGUUUGCGGGGAGAUUCAGUCGGGUGUCGGCGGCCGUCUCUGAAAUGGGUCUGUUGCAACCGAAGAUCGGGGCACAUUCCGGGAGGCGAGUUCCGCUGGAACCCGACGCAUUUCCCGCCCGCACGAAAGGACGCCGCAGCCGGUCGGGUAGCUGCGCGUGUCGGCCAUGAGGACGUUGCAACGGCAGGUGACCGGCGGCCCUAGGCUUCUUCGGAGGCACUAACGGUCGACGGUUGAUUAGCCGGCUCGUCCGUGGCGCGACACCCGACCGAGGUAAUAAUAGAGAAGGAACGGGGGCGUUUCUCCACGGAGAUCGUUCCCGUCUGCAAUCCACUACUUUCA